rnacentral:rRNA from 1 species
CCCUUAGAUGGUCUGGGCGGCACGCGCGCUACAAUGAUGCAUUCAAAAAGUCUUCUGACCUUAGAAGGUUGGGUAUUCUCCAAAGUGCAUCGUGAUGGGAAUAGUUUAUUGCAAUUUUUAAUCUUGAACGAGGAAUUCCUAGUAAGUACAGGUCAUCAACUUGUGUUGAUUACGUCCCCGCCCUUUGUACACACCGCCCGUCGCUCCUACUGAUUGAGUGUCUCGGUGAAUUCUUUGAUCUUCUGUCGAUUCAGUUCACUGAUCCGACGGUGGAAAGUUGAAUGAACUUCGUCACUUAGAGGAAGGAGAAGUCGUAACA